rnacentral:rRNA from 1 species
UACGUAGGGUGCUAGCGUUGUUCGGAAUCAUUGGGCGUAAAGCGCGUGCAGGCUGUUAGUUAAGUCGGGUGUGAAAUCCCUGGGCUCAACCGAGGAAGUGCAUCCGAAACUGGCUAGCUAGAGAGUGGUAGAGGAAGGUGGAAUUCCAAGUGUAGAGGUGAAAUUCGUAGAUAUUUGGAGGAAUACCGGUGGCGAAGGCGGCCUUCUGGUCCAUUUCUGACGCUGAGACGCGAAAGCGUGGGGAGCAAACAGG